rnacentral:rRNA from 1 species
UGUGCAGGCGGGCUGGCAUGUCGGUGGUGAAAGCCCUCGGCUUAACCGAGGAAGUGCUGCCGAAACUACCAGUCUUGAGGGCGGAAGAGGAAACUGGAACUUCUGGUGUAGCGGUAAAAUGCGUAGAUAUCAGAAGGAACGCCGAUAGCGAAGGCAGGUUUCUGGGACGUUCCUGACGCUGAAACACGAAAGCUAGGGGAGCAAACAGGAUUAGAUACCCUGGUAGUCCUAGCUGUAAACGAUGUACAUUAGGCGUGGGGAGUUUUCCCCGUGCCGGAGCCGACGCGUUAAAUGUACCGCCUGGGGACUACGGCCGCAAGGUUGAA